GCUUGUCUCAAAGAUUAAGCCAUGCACGUCUGAGAAUAAAGAGUUUUCUCUGAAUCUGCGAAUGGCUCAUUAUAUCAGUUAUAGUUUAUUUGAUAGUCCUUUACUACUUGGAUAACCGUAGUAAUUCUAGAGCUAAUACAUGCAUCAACUCCCAACUGCUUGUCGGACGGGAUGUAUUUAUUAGAUUGAAACCAAUGCAGUCUUCGGGCUGGUAUUGUGUUGAGUCAUAAUAACUGUGCGGAUCGCGUUUUACGCGAUAAAUCGAUUGAGUUUCUGCCCUAUCAGCUUUGGAUGGUAGGAUAUGGGCCUACCAUGGCAUUAACGGGUAACGGGGAAUUAGGGUUUGAUUCCGGAGAGGGAGCCUUAGAAACGGCUACCACAUCCAAGGAAGGCAGCAGG
rnacentral:rRNA from 1 species